UCCCUGGUGGUCUAGUGGUUGAGACUCUGCACUUCCAAUGCAGAGAACCCAGAUUCUAUCUCUGGUUGGGAAA
rnacentral:tRNA from 1 species